rnacentral:rRNA from 1 species
GGUCCCAGUUCGGAUUGAGGUCUGCAACUCGACCUCAUGAAGUCGGAAUCGCUAGUAAUCGCAUAUCAGAACGAUGCGGUGAAUACGUUCCCGGGCCUUGUACACACCGCCCGUCACACCACGAAAGUUUGUUGUACCCGAAGUCGGUGCCUUAACCUCGCAAGAGGAGAGAGCCGCCCAAGGUAUGGCCGAUGAUUGGGGUGAAGUCGUAACAAGGUAGCCGUAGGGGAACCUGCGGCUGGAUCACCUCCUUUCUAGGAGAGAAGGGUCCUGGAUGAAGCGCUCCUAUUUAGUAUUGUGAAGGAUCCGAGUGGAAGCCGGGACCGGAGAGAAACCGGGCCUGUAGCUCAGAUGGUGAGAGCGCACGCCUGAUAAGCGUGAGGUCGAUAGUUCGAAUCUAUCCAGGCCCACCAUCUGCGGGGAUGUAGCUCAGUUGGGAGAGCGCCUGCUUUGCAAGCAGGAGGUCAGCGGUUCGAUCCCGCUCAUCUCCACCACGGAGAAGGAAAACGAGCCGGAGGCAAGGAGAG